UUAAUACCGGACAUUCUCCUUCCUCCGCAUGGUGGUUGGUGGAAAGUUUUUUCGGCCAGGGAGGGGCUCGCGGCCUAUCAGCUUGUUGGCGGGGUAACGGCCCACCAAGGCGACGACGGGUAGCCGGCCUGAGAGGGCGACCGGCCACACUGGGACUGAGACACGGCCCAGACUCCUACGGGAGGCAGCAGUGGGGAAUAUUGCGCAAUGGGCGGAAGCCUGACGCAGCGACGCCGCGUGGGGGAUGAAGGCCUUCGGGUUGUAAACCCCUUUCACCAGGAGCGAAAACAGACGGUACCUGGGGAAGAAGCGCCGGCUAACUACG
rnacentral:rRNA from 1 species